GACGGCGCGGGGUGCUGGGUUGUGGAAAGAGGCGCGGAGUUGUCAAGAAGCUGGGUCCAGAAGGGCACCAGCGUGGCCCGGCGCUGCCCUCUUUAUCCGUAGGAACGCGGUCCAACCCGCGUCUUGCUAGGAUUUCUCAAUGGUUACUUGAAAGCGUGCGAAACAACAGGACACGUUCUUUGAGCCCCUACGGGGUGCUUAGAAGCUGAGGACCGACUAAAAUUUACUGUCUAGACUUUGAACAGUGCAAUUUGUUGAGGAUCACAGGGGAGAAACAUACACUGACUGUACUAAUUAUGGCUGUCAAAGGAUGUGUACGCAGUUUAUAUUAAUUGCUUGAAUGGGUCGGGAGCCUAAAGUUAAGGAGUGGUAUUAAUCAAGACAUACUGAAAAGAUGAACUUAAGAAUGCUGUCAGAGGGCAAUAAGGGAAAGCUAAUGUGGAAUACUGGUGUCUAGAUAAGGGAAUAUUAAAGUUGAUUUCUUCUUUAUUUGUUAGAUGUAAUUUUUUCAUCUCUAGUUUGUCUCACUAUUCGUUGAAACUAAGCUUAAUUUAUGUGUGCAGCCUUCAGAACCUAGUUCUGAGUGAAGACCAAAUGGUGAGGUCCACAUCCACUUAAUAUAUUUGCCAACCACUAAAUUGCUGCUAAAGCUGCAGUUGGGAAUCUGCGCUAGUUUAAUAUUUCAGUAAAGUAUAAUUUGCUUAGCUCAGAAACCAAGUGGUCAGUUACAAAAAUGCUUUGUGUGAGAUUGGGGCUACACUAGUAAGUACUGAGCAUCUUUUGAGUGCUGUGGCACCGUUUAAGAGAUGCAGAAUGAAAUCACUACCCACAGAGCUUUUGCAGGUUAUUUGAAUUUAGGGAUUAAGCAAAAUUACUGAAACCAGACUUCUCAUCUUCCUUUUUUUUAAACGGUUUUCUCUCUCUGCUUUCCCAUGUCUCCUCACCCACCCACACCAUUCCAAUCAGUUGGCAAGAGCCCAGAUAUGUAUUUUCCAUAUAUUCAUUUUGUGAAGACAUUGCUAACACUGGGUUUUUGGUUAUUCUUUAAUCUUUUAAAGUGGUUAGAAAAGUUUAUUUUGUGCUUAGGAUAUUUUUCUAAGGCAUCACAAGUGACACAUCCAAACUCUUAAGUGGUAUAUUUUAUAUAUUCUAAAGGAGAGGACUUUAGAGAAAACUUGUACAUUAUACUACUGUAAGUCUAAUGAAUUCAUAUAACAACAGAGCCUAGAAAGAAGAGAACUUUACAGAAAUUGUCUACUACAUAAUGGUCAGUUGAUUCAUUGUAUUUAUGAUUUUUCUUCUUUUUGUAAAGUCAAAACUAUUAUGUAUUCUAGCUCUUUAAGGAGUUAAAAUACACUAAAUGUUCCAUCCUGUUGAUUUCUGCCUACGAAAUACCACACAAUAUUAGCAGUCAGGAAAGAACAGGAGACUAUGAAGUUUGUCUCUUAAAAAUUAUAAAAAUGUUAGUGAUUUUAAAACAUCAAGCAUUACAAACUGUAAAAUCAAUUAAGAACUUUCUCUAUAUGAGGACAAAGAUAUACUUAAAACAUGUGCAAGAAGAUGCUUUUUCCUGAGUAGAAGGCAAACUUUGUUUUAUAUUAAGCUUCUAUGAAUUUUCAAAAUGUAAAAUACCAGGGCUUUUCCACAUCAGACAAAAAUCAGGAAUGUUCACCUUCACAUCCAAAAAGAAAAA